GUGGGGAAUCUUCCACAAUGGACGAAAGUCUGAUGGAGCAACGCCGCGUGAGUGAAGAAGGGUUUCGGCUCGUAAAGCUCUGUUGUCGGGGACGAAUGUGCAGUAUUUGAAUAAAGUAGUGCAAUGACGGUACCUGACGAGGAAGCCACGGCUAACUACGUGCCAGCAGCCGCGGUAAUACGUAGGUGGCAAGCGUUGUCCGGAAUUAUUGGGCGUAAAGGGAGCGCAGGCGGGAAGGUAAGUCGGUCUUAAAAGUGCGGGGCUCAACCCCGUGAUGGGAUCGAAACUAUCUUUCUUGAGUGCAGGAGAGGAAAGUGGAAUUCCUAGUGUAGCGGUGAAAUGCGUAGGUAUUAGGAGGAACACCAGUGGCGAAGGCGACUUUCUGGACUGUAACUGACGCUGAGGCUCGAAAGCCAGGGUAGCGAACGGGAUUAGAUACCCCUGUAGUCC
rnacentral:rRNA from 1 species